GACGAACGCUGGCGGCGUGCUUAACACAUGCAAGUCGAACGGAAAGGCCUCUUUCGGGGGGUACUCGAGUGGCGAACGGGUGAGUAACACGUGAGUAACCUGCCCUUGACUUUGGGAUAACUUCAGGAAACUGGGGCUAAUACCGGAUAGGAGCUCCUGCUGCAUGGUGGGGGUUGGAAAGUUUCGGCGGUUGGGGAUUGACUCGCGGCUUAUCAGCUUGUUGGUGGGGUAGUGGCUUACCAAGGCUUUGACGGGUAGCCGGCCUGAGAGGGUGACCGGCCACAUUGGGACUGAGAUACGGCCCAGACUCCUACGGGAGGCAGCAGUGGGGAAUAUUGCACAAUGGGUGGAAGCCUGAUGCAGCAACGCCGUGUGCGGGAUGACGGCCUUCGGGUUGUAAACCGCUUUCGCUCAUGACGAAGCUUUGUGUGACGGUAGUGGGUAAAGAAGCACCGGCUAACUACGUG
rnacentral:rRNA from 1 species